rnacentral:rRNA from 1 species
UAGGGAAUUUUCCACAAUGGGCGAAAGCCUGAUGGAGCAACGCCGCGUGAGGGAUGAAGGAUUUCGGUCUGUAAACCUCUUUGGAGCGGGAAGAACGGCUUCGUGGUGAAUAAUCAUGGAGCGUGACGGUACCGCUAGAACAAGACACGGCUAACUUCGUGCCAGCAGCCGCGGUAAUACGAAGGUGUCGAACGUUGUCCGGAAUUAUUGGGCGUAAAGGGCGCGUAGGCGGCUAGGUAAGUCAGAUGUGAAAGCUCUGGGCUCAACCCAGGAAUUGCAUUUGAAACUGCUUAGCUUGAGUUCGGUAGAGGAGGGCGGAAUUCCUGGUGUAGCGGUGAAAUGCGUAGAUAUCAGGAGGAACACCCGUGGCGAAGGCGGCUCUCUGGUCCGAUACUGACGCUGAGGCGCGAAAGGUAGGGGAGCAAACAGGAUUAGAUACCCCGGUAGUCC